rnacentral:lncRNA from 1 species
CUGUGCAAAGAGGUAGGUGUUGAGGAGUUUCUUCAAAGCAUUUUAAUGAUCCAGAGCUUGUGUUUCUGUAAGUGCAAAUAUACAAGACUAGGUCCAAUUAGAUUGGCAUCAGAAAGACACUUGCAGAGAUCGAGGUACGUAUGAACACUUUCUGGUUCACGAAUUUCUUUUCUUAAUCCUUGCAGUACAGCUACUCUGUCCAAGUACUCUGGGAGAAAACCCAAAUUGAUCAUUUUUACUAAUGUUCCUGCAGCAUCACGGAAAUGCCCUCCUUUGAUGUAACCCCUAAGUAGCCAUGUCAAACUCUUUUUCUUAAUCAUGGGACUCGUAAUCUCGAUCCUGGUAAGCAACCGUUUCAUUGCUUUUGUCUCCUUCUGUGAAGCACAAAUGGCUAGAACAAU